ensembl:processed_transcript 8030453O22Rik RIKEN cDNA 8030453O22 gene
UUGGGCUGUGGCUGUCUGUGGCCUGCCUGCACACGGUCACCAUGUCAGCACCAAGAGAGACUCCAGGAAGCCUAGAGGACCAGUGAUAAAGACUCUGUGAGGCACAUGGGCCCCUCCUUCAGAAGGAAGCAGAAUAGGUUAGACAGAUGUCUCAGUGGGUAGAGAUACUUGCUGCCAAUCAAGAGUUCGCCACCAGAGCCCACAGGGAACUGAACUAAGACCUGAGUUCAGCUUCUAACAGCCACAUGAGGAGGCUCGCCACCACCUAUAACUUCAGCUCUGUGGGGGUCUGACACACCCUUCUGGCCUGCACUGGCAUCAGCACACACAGAUGUUGAAUCAGACAGACAGACAGACAGACAGACCACCAAUCC